rnacentral:rRNA from 1 species
UACGUAGGGUGCGAGCGUUGUCCGGAAUUAUUGGGCGUAAAGAGCUCGUAGGCGGUGUGUCGCGUCGGCCGUGAAAACCUAGGGCUCAACCCUGGGCCUGCAGCCGAUACGGGCAAGCUAGAAUUCGGUAGGGGAGACUGGAAUUCCUGGUGUAGCGGUGAAAUGCGCAGAUAUCAGGAGGAACACCGGUGGCGAAGGCGGGUCUCUGGGCCGAUAUUGACGCUGAGGAGCGAAAGCGUGGGGAGCGAACAGG